GAAAUUUUUUAAGGGUAAAAUAGUCUUUUUAUUGUUAUUUGGUGAGAUUUAAGCCAUUAGAGAAUUUAGGUAUUGCAUGGGAUAUGAAUGAAUUCCUAUUACUAUAAUAAUACAUUAGGGACAAAGAAAGAAAGAUUUUGCAGAGUAGUAGUUAGUAAUGGCAGAGGACAAAGAAGACAGAGAAGAAGGAGGGUUCCAUAAUCCUAAUCACAACAACAACAACAACAUCAGCAAGAAAGGAUCCGAAGUAAAGUCAUGCAAGGGAUAUCUCUACUACUCGUUUCUGCGAAGAUCCAAGAACCCCACUUGCGUUGGCAUCCCCAGAACCCUCCACCGAGGAACUUUUACAAGAAAUGUACUGAUAUUUAAGGUGCAUGACCAGUGCCCAGAAACACUUUUUGGGAAACUGAGUUGGAAGCUUCCAAAGAGGGCCGCAGUCAAUCACUUUCGAUUAUUCUUGUCUUGGUUACUCGGUGUUCCUGAACAAGAAGGACUCUUCAAGCGAUCAGCAGAUCAAACGAGCAGAAUUGCCAGUUUGUACUGGUUUUGAGGUUUUGUUGGAGUGGGCUCAGGCUCCUGCUCAUGUUAAUAAAGAUGAUGGUCGUGUUCUUCCCCAACCUCAACCUCAACCUGAACCUCGAACUGACAGACCAGCUCAUUCUACAGGAGAGGAGUACCUGAACAG